UACGUAGGGCGCAAGCGUUAUCCGGAAUUAUUGGGCGUAAAGAGCUCGUAGGCGGUUUGUCGCGUCUGCCGUGAAAGUCCGGGGCUCAACACCGGAUCUGCGGUGGGUACGGGCAGACUAGAGUGAUGUAGGGGAGACUGGAAUUCCUGGUGUAGCGGUGAAAUGCGCAGAUAUCAGGAGGAACACCGAUGGCGAAGGCAGGUCUCUGGGCAUUAACUGACGCUGAGGAGCGAAAGCAUGGGGAGCGAACAGG
rnacentral:rRNA from 1 species